ACGAACGCUGGCGGCAGGCCUAACACAUGCAAGUCGAACGCGUCCUUCGGGACGAGUGGCAGACGGGUGAGUAACGCGUGGGAACGUACCCUUUGGUUCGGAACAACAGCGGGAAACUGCUGCUAAUACCGGAUAAGCCCUUCGGGGGAAAGAUUUAUCGCCAGAGGAUCGGCCCGCGUUAGAUUAGCUUGUUGGUGAGGUAAUGGCUCACCAAGGCUACGAUCUAUAGCUGGUCUGAGAGGAUGAUCAGCCACACUGGGGCUGAGACACGGCCCAGACUCUUACGGGAGGCAGCAGUGGGGAAUCUUGGACAAUGGGCGAAAGCCUGAUCCAGCCAUGCCGCGUGAAUGAUGAAGGCCCUAGGGUUGUAAAAUUCUUUCGACGGGGAAGAUAAUGACGGUACCCGUAGAAGAAGCUCUGGCUAACUUCGU
rnacentral:rRNA from 1 species